rnacentral:lncRNA from 13 species
GAGACCUAGGGUGAAUUGACCAAGAGAAGAUGGGGACUGCUGUGCUGCAGGCACAACAACCUCAGCAAGGCCCUCCGAUGCCUAAAGGAAUCUGACACAGUGGAGGCUGGGCGAGAAGUCCAGGUAGCUGCAGCACAGUGAGCAGCAGCAGGAACUUCAGGAAGGAAUCGAUUCUGGAGGCCUUCGUGGCCUGUAGAAAUUUUAGACUUCAUCCAAAAGGAAGAGGGCAGCCACUGAAGAGCUGUAGGAAGUGGGUGCCAAGAUCAGCAGCAAUGCAAUGAGGAUGAUGCCGAUGCUGCUGUUGAUGACAAUCUGAAAACCAGAAGCUCCUUGACACAAUGAAGGAACAGUCUAUCCAACCAGAGAAGUGCAUGCUCUCCAGCCCUAGGGAGGCCUGUCAGGAAGGACCGAAAAUGUUCCAGAUGUUGAAAUAACACGCAUGUCAUCUUCCUGGUGUUAUGGGCAUCCUUGUUCUGUCAACCAGGCUGGAGUAUAAUGCUGCCAUCAUAGCUUACUGCAGCCUCAAUCUCCUAGGAUCAACACACCUCAGCCUCCCAAGUAGGUGGGACACAGGCGUGAGCCACCAUAUAUGGCUAAUGUUUUUAUUCUUUUUAGAGAUGAAGAAUGCUACCCAUGCUGGUC